AUUGAACGCUGGCGGAAUGCUUUACACAUGCAAGUCGAACGGCAGCACGAGGGCAACCUUGGUGGCGAGUGGCGAACGGGUGAGUAAUACAUCGGAACGUGCCCAGUCGUGGGGGAUAACGUAGCGAAAGCUACGCUAAUACCGCAUACGAUCUAUGGAUGAAAGCGGGGGACCGUAAGGCCUCGCGCGAUUGGAGCGGCCGAUGGCAGAUUAGGUAGUUGGUGGGGGUAAAGGCUCACCAAGCCUGCGAUCUGUAGCUGGUCUGAGAGGACGACCAGCCACACUGGAACUGAGACACGGUCCAGACUCCUACGGGAGGCAGCAGUGGGGAAUUUUGGACAAUGGGCGCAAGCCUGAUCCAGCCAUUCCGCGUGCAGGAUGAAGGCC
rnacentral:rRNA from 1 species